rnacentral:rRNA from 1 species
GACGAACGCUGGCGGCGUGCCUAAUACAUGCAAGUUGAGCGCUGAAGGUUGGUACUUGUACCGACUGGAUGAGCAGCGAACGGGUGAGUAACGCGUGGGGAAUCUGCCUUUGAGCGGGGGACAACAUUUGGAAGCGAAUGCUAAUACCGCAUAAAAACUUUAAACACAAGUUUUAAGUUUGAAAGAUGCAAUUGCAUCACUCAAAGAUGAUCCCGCGUUGUAUUAGCUAGUUGGUGAGGUAAAGGCUCACCAAGGCGAUGAUACAUAGCCGACCUGAGAGGGUGAUCGGCCACAUUGGGACUGAGACACGGCCCAAACUCCUACGGGAGGCAGCAGUAGGGAAUCUUCGGCAAUGGACGAAAGUCUGACCGAGCAACGCCGCGUGAGUGAAGAAGGGUGUCGGAUCGUAAAACUCUGUUGGUAGAGAAGAACGUUGGUGAGAGUGGAAAGCUCAUCAAGUGACGGUAACUACCCAGAAAGGGACGGCUAACUACGUG